rfam:Myotis davidii contig58757, whole genome shotgun sequence.
GACAGUUCUCUGGUGGUGCACCCCAGAAUCAGGCUCCCGCCUCUCUGGUUCCGGGUGUGUCACCCAAGAACUGCA